GGUCCGUUAGCUCAGUCAGCAGAGCGUGGUGCUAAUAACGCUAAGGUCAUGGGUUCGAGCCCCAUAUGGACCA
rnacentral:tRNA from 1 species